rnacentral:rRNA from 1 species
GACGAACGCUGGCGGCGUGCUUAACACAUGCAAGUCGAACGGAAAGGCCUCUUUCGGGGGGUACUCGAGUGGCGAACGGGUGAGUAACACGUGAGUAACCUGCCCUUGACUUUGGGAUAACUUCAGGAAACUGGGGCUAAUACCGGAUAGGAGCUCCUGCUGCAUGGUGGGGGUUGGAAAGUUUCGGCGGUUGGGGAUGGACUCGCGGCUUAUCUGCUUGUUGGUGGGGUAGUGGCUUACCAAGGCUUUGACGGGUAGCCGGCCUGAGAGGGUGACCGGCCACAUUGGGACUGAGAUACGGCCCAGACUCCUACGGGAGGCAGCAGUGGGGAAUAUUGCACAAUGGGUGGAAGCCUGAUGCAGCAACGCCGUGUGCGGGAUGACGGCCUUCGGGUUGGAAACCGCUUUCGCUCAUGACGAAGCUUUGUGUGACGGUAGUGGGUAAAGAAGCACCGGCUAACUACGUG